CUGGAAACGAGAAACCCACCUUGGAGAUGAUUAAGGGUUCUCCGUGCUCCAGGCCACCUUUCAAGAUGUAGAGAUAUGAAAAACUAAAGCAUAAAUUCUCAAUGGAACCACGACGGCAGGACCCGCUGUCUUUUCUCGGGCGUUUUCAGUAGUGCUCAGUCCCGCGGAGAAAGGAGGGAGAAGCAAGUGGGUUAGGCGCCGCGCGCUGGGAAACUGCGGUGCGGAACCAGCUCGCCACAAAGACCUGACAAUCAAAACAGCCUCGCGUAGCGGGUGACAAAGCCGAGAAAGCUGAAAAUGGCACACCGAUUGGCUGAUUACCUACAAAGUAGUUGCUAGAAGAGCACCGCCUCGCUCCAAUUAAAGCAGAAGUUCAGCCAGAGACGGGUCUUUGGUAUUUUUGCAAACUCCAGACGAUCUGCUGCGCCCCUGCGUUUGAAAAGCGGCGCCUGAGCGGUUUGGGGAAACGUGUGAAGAAAGGUCAAGGUGGUGGCCCAACGGCUGUGUUGACUUUAGCAGAAAAAAAAUGGGGCCUAGAAUAGAAAAGCAGCCGCUCACCUGGACGUGGGACUGCCUAGCCACAUUUCUCAGUGCAAAACCAAGGCAGGCUUUCUUCUUUCUGCUUUGUUACCUACUCGGAGAUGAUUUGUUAUCCAUUCUUUAAAUGGGGAGAAAAUGUGAUUCUUCCUAAGUAGUAGGAAACCAAGGCUGAAUGUUGUUCUGAUUUCAGGCUAGACAUGUAAUUUUGUAAUAAUAAUUAUAUUUAACAUGACUGUAUUCAAAAUUUAAACAGUCCAAGAGACUUGUAGCUUUUACCCAGAAGCUUCAGCCAUUGUUAGCUGAACAAAUUAGAAUUACCUCCAAGGAAUGUUCACUAAAUCUUUGUUGUUGUUGUUGUUGUUGUUGGUUUAAAAUAUGUAGUAUCUGGGCCUGGUGGCACAUGCCUGUAAUCUCGGCCACUCAGGAGGCUGAGGCAGGCAGCUCACAAGUUUAAACCCAGCCUGGGAAACUUAACUGAGAUCCUGUCACAAAAUAAAAAGUAAAAAAAAAUAGGCUGGGGGGGGGGAUCUUUGAAACAAGUUAAAAACUACUGUGGGGUGUGAUAACAGUUUGAUUUUGUUUGUACUUGAAGGAAUCUGACUGUCACCAUCCUGAUGAGAGACCCCACAGCACAGCUGCGCCUGGGGACUCAGAACAUUAUCAGCCCUGCCAUUGAGAGCAGCCUCUGCUCUCUGGCAACUAUUGCCUUGUUCUUGGCAGGGAGCCCAGACCGCUCUCACUGAGCCUUCUCCUCCCUAUGACCCUACAAAAGACCCCAGGCCUGGACAGAGCUGCUGAUCUGGUCUCUAGGGGUAGAGCAGUCCCUCCCAGGUUUGUUCUGAAAUAAACCUGUCCUGUUGAGCUCGCA